rnacentral:rRNA from 1 species
GACAGAGGUGCCAAGCGUUAGGCGGAAUCACUGGGCUUAAAGCGUGUGUAGGCGGAUCGUUAAGUACCUUGUGAAAUCCCACGGCUCAACCGUGGAACUGCUGGGUAUACUGGCGAUCUUGAGCCACCUAGGGGCGAGCGGAACAAACGGUGGAGCGGUGAAAUGCGUAGAUAUCGUUUGGAACGCCAACGGUGAAAACAGCCCGCUGGGGGUGUGCUGACGCUGAGACACGAAAGCCAGGGGAGCGAACGGG